GGGGACGACAGCGCGGCGACAAGGCGGAAGUCCCGCCCCACGCGCCUCAUUGGCCUGCACCCGAAGGCGGAAGUCAACCUUACCCGUCCUGGGUGUUCCAGUCUCAAACGAAGCUACUUUGAAAUUUAACCACAUUGGACCAUCCACACUGAUUAUCAGUUGCCAAUUAGCCACUUUGAAGAGGCAAUGGAAAAAAAAAAAACAAAGAAGCAGUGGGUUUACUGCAAAAAAUUGCAUAAAGUCCUGAAUUAGAAUGCCAGGAGACGCUAGAUUCUGGUCCUGCUUCUCUUUCAAAAUAAGGCGCCUUUACAGGUUUUACAUCCUUCGACCUCAUCUUUUAAACAAAGGAGGGGCCAGAGGGGCUAGCACAGAAAACACCUGCAGAAUACCAUUGGAUGUAACUUUUCAUUUGAUUGCUCUGGGUACACCUGAGUGACUGAAAAAGGAAUAGGAGGAGAACUCAUUCCCCAUUGUGUAUCUUUUGGGGCCUUUGAAUUUUGUACCUUGUGAACACUACUCAAAAAGUAAAUACAAAAAUGUUAAAAAUCAAAUUACAAUAAAAUAACAAAGGCCAUCAAACAUAUUUUCCUCUUCUAUGUACCCUCUGACUAUAUAUUCUACAUAUUCUUAAAUUUUACAAGUGUGAAGACAGUCACACUUAAUACACAAUCCUGCCUUUAAGAUAAUUGUACAUAAAAAUCAGAAUUGGGGAUAUUACUAUGAAGUCUAGUAUAAUUAGUGUAAACAUAGUUACAAUGUCUAAGCAUUUCUUCAUUAAUUCUCAAAUUGGCUUUAUAUUAAAUCAGAUUUCUUAAAUGACAUUGAAAGAAGUAAAAAAUAUUACAGGUUAAAAAAGAACAAAGAAGAGAUUCUUUUAUUCCUUAAGUAAAAGCACCUUGAGGACAAAACAUUUUAAUCUGACUAAUCUGCACUUCUGGUUACAAUUGGUAUAGUUCUUUCAGUUAUAAACAAGAUAAAGUGCUAUUUGUAUUGCAUUUAGGCCUACUAAUUGUGCUUCACUCUAAAGAAGUAUCAAUUCUCCCCACUGUGUUGAAUAAAGGUAAAUUGGAAGAAAAUAGAUUGGGAAAACCUACUAUCUUUGUAAAAGUAGGUUAACCCAUAAGGUUGAUAUCUAUCUUAAUUAUGGCUUUCAAAAACAUAAGGGUU